rnacentral:rRNA from 1 species
AUUGAACGCUGGCGGCAGGCCUAACACAUGCAAGUCGAGCGAGCGGCGGACGGGUGAGUAAUGUAUGGGGACUGCCCGAUAGAGGGGGAUAACUACUGGAAACGGUGGCUAAUACCGCAUACUAUCGGAUAACCCAUAUGGGAUGAGCUAGUAGGUGGGGUAAAGGCUCACCUAGGCGACGAUCCUGAGCUGGUCUGAGAGGAUGAUCAGGCACACUGGGACUGAGACUCAGUCCGACCGCGAAGGGAGGCAGCAGUGGGGAAUGUUGCUCAAUGGGCGCAAGCCUGAUGCAGCCAUGCCGCGUGUAUGAAGAAGGCCAUAAAGUUGUAAAGUACGUUCAGCGGGGAGGGGUGGUCCGCAGAAGAAGCACCGGCUAACUCCGUGCCAGCAGCCGCGGUAAUUC